ensembl:lncRNA
UUUUAUAUUACAUUUUUAUUUUGCAAGAAAAUAAAUUAUACAACUUAAAAAAUAAAAUUCAAAAAUUAAGCAGUACAUCAAAAUAGUUCAGCUGGACUGCCAUACAGAAACUACCACCAUUCAAAAUUGUACAGCAUUAUUAUCUUGGUAGUGGCACACAUUCAAAAUUGGAAAUACCAUACGUAGAUAGAUAUUACAACUCAGGAACUCAAGUUUGCUCAACACUCCAGACUACAUAUAGUGUAUAUGACAGGAGAGCUCUCGUGUAUUGUUUAUUUCACAAAUAUGACCUCAAAGAAUUACAAAGAUAGCAUCCCAGUCAUUUAGAUGAAAAUAGAAAACAGUUUGAGUUUAAGAUAGCAAAUCUUUCUGUAAAACUAUCAAAUCUUUUUUUGCCAAUUGUGUUUCUAAAAUUUGCACUUUACAGGACAAUGGCAUCCCAAUGCAACUAAAUGCAACAUGUGAACAUUCAGAACAUUUGGAAUCAGUUAAAAAGGUGAGAACGAGAAAGUCACAUUGUCUUUUGGAAAUGCAAUGGCAUUACAGUUGCAACAAAUGAAAGAUAGAUGGGUAAGAACAGAAGGUAGGGACACCGAGUGUGGAAAGAGGAAAAUGGAAGACUUCAGAAUUGAAACUGAGAUCCUCAUCAAGUUGUUGGGACAGAGAAAGAUUUAACAGUAUUUCUUAAUUAAACCCAUUAAGAGUGAUUUUUUUGCCCCUCUCUUCUACACCAGAUUUCAUUCCAUAGCUAUUCACCGUGGCAGUGUGCGUGGCAACAUGCUUUUCAGAUGCAGCACCUCUUUAAGCUAGGUCUUUGGACAUAUAUAUUCAUAGCUAAAAAUUGCAGCCUUAAAAGUGCGUUGUUGCCAUAUUGCAAGUGAAGAAUAGUUCAUUUUCAUUUAGAUCUGAACUUUACCCUCCCCAAAAGAACAGUUUACCCCAGGUAUCUCCCUGUGCCCCGGGUGAUACUAGUUUUAAGUGCAUAUUGGUGAAAGUGACCUGAUGAAUGACGCUAAACAUGAUUCUGCAUUUUGAACAAAUUUGCUGGUGUGAGUCUCAGAGUCAAUAAAAAACCCGACAUCCAUUUCUGGUAUAUAUUUAAAGAAAACCGACCACGUCAUAGGCACAUUACCAAUUCUACUUCUGCAUCCCAGGUGUUGAGAAAUGUAGAGAUAAGGUUGUAUUGGUUCAUACUUAUUAGUUGAGGGAACAUGCACCUCCUUAGCUUUCAGCAACCUGUUGCUUUCUGCACACACUCCAGCUCCCUCGACAGCUGUAUGAGAUGCAGCCUCUUACACAUCUCCCAAAUCUAAAUCAAUGGCUUCAAAAUUGGCAUCAUCCCCUUUGCAGCUCUUUCUGCAUGACAAUUUCACACCUCUUGUUCUCUGGCUAAGGGCUGGAAUUUUUACGUUGAAAAGAGUGUGCUCAGACUGUCCUGUCUUCCCUCAGUAAUCCCAAGUGAGCAUUUAUUACUUCUAAGUUACAAAGACUGAAAGUCUUGCAGCAGGGUCUUUUAUUAGAGCUUCCUAAUGUUCAAACAGUUUUUACUAGUUAACUACAGAGAGCACCACUUGCUUUCGAUUCUGAACUGCAACACCACAGCGCCAACAUGAAAAGAUGCAGUAUUUUUAAACAGCAUCUACUUUUGAGUAUCCGUAAAAGCAUGUAACAUAAGCUGUGGGAUUUCAAUCAGCUGGAAUUGGCCAGGUCUCAGUUUCUCUCCAUCUCUCAUUCUCUCAAACUUGCACUACCAAACCCCUCCUACUCAAAUAGAUGUCCAAGUACACACUGUUCUCGGGCAGUCACACUAGCAUUUACAUUAGUAGUAGAGCGUGCAGCCUAUUUAAGGGUGCAAACAGUCACCCCUGUGGAGUUUGCUUUUCCACCAUUCUUACUCUACACUUUAAUGCAACCAUGUGAAAGCAAAACUCCUUCUCUUACCGACUGGAAAGUUUUCCUUUUUGACUAAAGUUAACUGUAUCCUUUUCCCCCUUUCCAUCAAAGAAGAUGAGACCUUUAGGUAUUGUACUUUAACUGGUUAAUUAAGAAACAUUUUGCACACUUGUGAUUUAUAGAAGAAUAUUCAUACAGAACUGAGUAGAGCGCAACUUACCUUUCGUCCC